AGAGUUUGAUCAUGGCUCACAGUGGACGUUGGCAGUGCGUUUUAAGCAGGCAAGUUGUACGGCAACAGUACUUAUACUUUUCGGAGUAUAAGUAGCUGGCGAGUGGCGGACUGGUGAGUAACGCGUAAGGACCUACCCUAAGGAGAGGGAUAGCCUGUGGAAACACAGGGUAAUACCUCAUAGUCUCUAAUUGAGUAAAGCCUGUAAAGGUGCCUUAGGAUGGACUUGCGUCCUAUCAGCUAGUUGGUGAGGUAAAGGCUCACCAAGGCUAAGACGGGUAGCCGGCCUGAGGGGGUGGUCGGCCACACUGGGACUGGAACACGGCCCAGACUCCUACGGGAGGCAGCAGUGGGGAAUAUUGGGCAAUGGGCGGAAGCCUGACCCAGCGACGCCGUGUGAGGGAAGAAGGCCUUCGGGUCGUAAACCUCUGUCAGUGGGGAAGAAAGGGUAUGGGUUAAUAGCCUGUACUUUUGACGGUACCCACAGAGGAAGCACCGGCCAACUCCGUGCCAGCAGCCGCGGUAAUACGGAGGGUGCGAGCGUUAUUCGGAAUCACUGGGCGUAAAGCGCGCGUAGGCGGCUGAUCGAGUCAGGUGUGAAAUCCCACGGCUCAACCGUGGAAUAGCACUUGAUACUGGUUGGCUAGAGUCUGGCAGAGGGUGGCGGAAUUCCCGGUGUAGGGGUGAAAUCCGUAGAUAUCGGGAGGGAACACCAGAGGCGAAGGCGGCCAUCUGGGCCAAGACUGACGCUGAGGUGCGAAGGCGUGGGGAGCGAACAGGAUUAGA
rnacentral:rRNA from 1 species